GAAGCACGCCAGACCGCCGCUGGUGCAAUCUGGGAAACCAGGCACUGGAGGAACGUCCGGACUGCACAGGACAGCGUAGCAGCUAACGGCUGCCCACCGCGAGGUGAGGAUCAGAGCAACAGAGACGAGUCCCGGGGGAGUGCCGCAAGGUAGACCACUGGGGGUGAAACGGGCAAUCUCUACGCGCAGCAAUACCAAGUAGGCCAGCGUUGAUGUGGUUCCGCAGAGCUGGCGGGUAGGUAGCACCGAGCCGGGUGGGCGACCCCCGGCCCAGAGUAAUGGCGGUCACGCUGCGGGCAACCGCAGUGCACAGAAUCCGGCUUAUCGGCGCGCUUCACAC
rfam:Burkholderiales bacterium 68-12 scnpilot_p_inoc_scaffold_351, whole genome shotgun sequence.